GGGCCCGCACAAGCGGUGGAGCAUGUGGUUUAAUUCGAUGAUACGCGAGGAACCUUACCAGGGCUUAAAUGUAAGAUGCAUUAGUUAGAGAUAGCUAUUUCUUCGGACUUCUUACAAGGUGCUGCAUGGUUGUCGUCAGCUCGUGCCGUGAGGUGUCAGGUUAAGUCCUAUAACGAGCGCAACCCUUGUCGUUAGUUGCCAGCAUGUAAAGAUGGGGACUCUAACGAGACUGCCGGUGUAAACCGCGAGGAAGGUGGGGAUGACGUCAAAUCAUCACGGCCCUUACGUCCUGGCCUACACACGUGCUACAAUGGUAUGGACAUGAGCAGCCACUAUGCGAAUAGGAGCGAA
rnacentral:rRNA from 1 species